rnacentral:misc_RNA from 1 species
AACGCACGAGACCUGCGGACCUGCGGAGGGAUCAUUAACACUAAAACCAUUAGAAUAGAGAUAAUGACCUUAAGCAAGUCUUUAUCCUAAAACAAAAAUUAUCCUAGGUUUAGAGGAUAUUUAAACACGAUAACAAAUGCGAAUAGACAAAUGUCUAAAGCUAAAAUUUAAAUCAUAACAACUUUCAACAAUGGAUCUCU